CCUGCCCCUAGAAGUAUUACAAGUUUGGCUGCUCUGUCACAUGUGCGUCAGCAGAUGGCAGAGAGGAGAGAGGCUAUGUGUUCUGACCUAUGAACAUCUAGAUGAUUUGUAGCCUAAUAGU
ensembl:snoRNA Gm24994 predicted gene, 24994